GAACGCCCCGCAAGGGGAGUGGCGCACGGGUGAGUAAUGCGUGGGAACCUGCCCUGGAGUUUGGGAUAACCCGGCGAAAGCCGGGCUAAUACCGGAUACGCCCUGAGGGGGAAAGAUUUAUCGCUCUAGGAGGGGCCCGCGUCGGAUUAGCUAGUUGGUGAGGUAACGGCUCACCAAGGCGAUGAUCCGUAGCUGGUCUGAGAGGAUGAUCAGCCACACUGGGACUGAGACACGGCCCAGACUCCUACGGGAGGCAGCAGUGGGGAAUAUUGGACAAUGGGGGCAACCCUGAUCCAGCAAUGCCGCGUGAGUGAUGAAGGCCUUAGGGUUGUAAAGCUCUUUCGCCCGCGACGAUGAUGACGGUAGCGGGAGAAGAAGCCCCGGCUAACUUCGUG
rnacentral:rRNA from 1 species